rnacentral:snRNA from 1 species
AUCGCUUCUCGGCCUUUUGGCUAAGAUCAAGUGUAAUAUUUUCUUUCAUCCAAGGGUUAUCUAGAAGUAUGUUCAUUCAUUUCCCAGAAGAUUAAAACUUUUACUUUGAAAAUUACUGAGGUUUUUUUCUUUUUAGAGAUCAAGAAUAACACAA